UGUUCUCAUUGUGAAACAAUAACUUCUAACUGAGCAUACCAGUUUGCAUGAUUUGAAUUAUUUACAAAUUUAUACUGUUUUAUGUUGUCUGCAUGCGCUCUUUUAUAGUGAAAAGCCCUAUUUUCAUGAAGAUUGGUUACAGCACGUAUUUAUAAAGUUUGUUUAGUUCCUGACGCCCAUGCAAAAACUAAACUCAUCGCAAAAGAUGUAAAAAAGAUCAUUUGAAUUGUCAAAUCUGGGUAUUCAGGCUGUUAAAAGUCAUGAAGCGGGUGUUUACACUAACUUUUGUGAGAUUCAAAGUUAAAAGAAAUUAUUUUUGAUUAAUUAAUAAUUUUGUAUUAUAAUUUUGGUUUGUAACAGAUUUUAAUCUAAACUGACUAUAACUUUAAAAUGUCAGACAUUUUUGAAACUUAAAUGUUUAAUCUUUUAAUUAUCUUUUCUUAGGUAAGAAGCAUUAAUCUGUUAGCUGUUUUUUUGUUAAUGGAAAAAAGUUGCAAACUUACCCACUUGGAAGUGAAGUUAAAAAUUGGUAUUUUCCACCAAAAAAUAAAAGUCAAUUAAAUCAUCGUUAUAAAUUAACGCUGAGAUUAUAUAGACACUGAAAUCUACAAUCAAAUCUACAAUGAAAUGCUACUCUAAUAACUUAUGUGGAAAUUUAGAUAAUUAAUAUUGGAAAUUUAAACAACACUUGUUUCCUCGCAGCAAUUUAUCAGAAGAUUUUACCAUGAGCACCUCAAAAGUAUCAUACAUUAUUAACCAUGAACAGGGCCAUACCUUAAGAAAUCACAGUCUGAUUGUUACAUUGCAUGACUUGAUGUGAGGUUGAACGACAUAGCCUAAACAUGUCAGAUGGAUCAAUCGUUUGGUAUUGGGAUUUCAAUUACAAAGUUAAAAUGAGGUAUUGGACAUCAGUUAUUCUUAGUCAUUCUGCAGCUUUUGACUUUUUUACUCCUUUUAACGAAAACUUAACAUAAUUUAACUCAAGUAAAAUGUUUCAAGCUUCCAUGGAUCCUUUACAAAUUGGAAACUUUUAGAUGAUCUAUACAAGCACAGAAAGGAUAAUAAGCUUAUAAAUAUUGGAAGUUGCUUGUUGCAUAUAAUCCGUAGUACCUUUAAAACAGCUAUCAAACUAACCACAUGGAAUAUAAACGAAACUCUAAAAGAGUGUUAGAAAGUCUUCAUGAUAGCCUGACAUGACGUCAAAAUUAUAAAACAGUCAUGGAUGCAACAAAAUAUCCUUUUUUUUUUGCUCAACAAGAUGGACGGAAGGUAAAUCUGUUGCAGAUCGUGGUAUUGAAAUAUAUGUAAGUUGAUUGAGUUUUGGGAGGAUUUAAUAACAUCCAAGCAACCUACAUUGAAAAGCAUUUUAAAUGUCAAAGAAGCUGUUAAAGAAAAACUUAUUCUUUUAAAAUUUAAAGAUUUUAGCUUUGUUGCAAGCAUGUUAGAACUUUAUUUGUUUGUAUACCAAAUUAUUCCUUAAUAUCUAUUCAUAUAUAGUGACUCAAAAAGUCUGUUACAGAUCAUACUGAGUUUAUUUGUGAAACAAGAAGUUAUUGAUAAUUAUUCUAUACCACUCUAACUAAAAACGUUGACUUUUAUAAAAAAGAUAAUCUACUUUAGGGAAAUCAAAUCAAACUAGGAUUUGCAGCUGGUUUACACAAGACUGGUUUCUUUACGAAAGAAAGAUAUAAUAUUCAAUUUUGAUAUUUAAAUUUUCCACAAAGAUUACCACUUGGAUC
rnacentral:lncRNA from 1 species